ACGGGGUGCAGCAGGCGCGAACACUUUACAAUGCGGGAAACCGCGAUAAGGGAACCCCGAGUGCCAGCAUCAAAUGUUGGCUGUCCAGAUGAUUAAAAAUCAUUUGUUAGCAAGGGCCGGGCAAGACCGGUGCCAGCCGCCGCGGUAACACCGGCGGCCCGAGUGGUAGCCGUUUUUAUUGGGUCUAAAGGGACCGUAGCCGGCCUGAUAAGUCCUUUGGGAAAUCUGGCAGCUUAACUGUCAGGCUUCUAAGGGAUACUGUCAGGCUUGGGACCGGAAGAGGUAAGGGGUACUCCAGGGGUAGGAGUGAAAUCUUGUAAUCCCUGGGGGACCAUCUGUGGCGAAGGCGCCUUACCAGAACGGGUCCGACGGUGAGGGACGAAAGCUAGGGGAGCAAACCGGAUUAGAUACCCGGGUAGUCCUAGCUGUAAACGAUGCUCGCUAGGUGUCAGACACGGUGCGACCGUGUUUGGUGCCGCAGGGAAGCCGUUAAGCGAGCCACCUGGAAGUACGUCGCAAGGC
rnacentral:rRNA from 1 species